rnacentral:rRNA from 1 species
UACGGAGGAUCCGAGCGUUAUCCGGAAUCAUUGGGUUUAAAGGGUCCGUAGGCGGCUAUAUAAGUCAGUGGUGAAAGUUUUCGGCUUAACCGAAAAAUUGCCAUUGAUACUGUAUGGCUUGAAUGAUUUUGAAGUAACUAGAAUAUGUAGUGUAGCGGUGAAAUGCAUAGAUAUUACAUGGAAUACCAAUUGCGCAGGCAGGUUACUAAGAAUCGAUUGACGCUGAUGGACGAAAGCGUGGGUAGCGAACAGGAUUAGAUACCCUGGUAGUCCACGCCGUAAACGAUGGAUACUAGCUGUUUGGUUGUAAGACUGAGUGGCUAAGCGAAAGUGAUAAGUAUCCCACCUGGGGAGUACGGUCGCAAGACUGAA